rnacentral:rRNA from 1 species
UACGAAGGGGGCUAGCGUUGCUCGGAAUCACUGGGCGUAAAGCGCACGUAGGCGGAUCUUUAAGUCAGGGGUGAAAUCCCGGAGCUCAACUCCAGAACUGCCUUUGAUACUGGGGAUCUCGAGUCCGGAAGAGGUGAGUGGAACUCCGAGUGUAGAGGUGAAAUUCGUAGAUAUUCGGAAGAACACCAGUGGCGAAGGCGGCUCACUGGUCCGGUACUGGACGCUGAGGUGCGAAAGCGUGGGAGCGAACAGG